rnacentral:rRNA from 4 species
UGGGGAAUAUUGCACAAUGGGCGCAAGCCUGAUGCAGCCAUGCCGCGUGUAUGAAGAAGGCCUUCGGGUUGUAAAGUACUUUCAGCGGGGAGGAAGGUGUUGUGGUUAAUAACCGCAGCAAUUGACGUUACCCGCAGAAGAAGCACCGGCUAACUCCGUGCCAGCAGCCGCGGUAAUACGGAGGGUGCAAGCGUUAAUCGGAAUUACUGGGCGUAAAGCGCACGCAGGCGGUCUGUCAAGUCGGAUGUGAAAUCCCCGGGCUCAACCUGGGAACUGCAUUCGAAACUGGCAGGCUAGAGUCUUGUAGAGGGGGGUAGAAUUCCAGGUGUAGCGGUGAAAUGCGUAGAGAUCUGGAGGAAUACCGGUGGCGAAGGCGGCCCCCUGGACAAAGACUGACGCUCAGGUGCGAAAGCGUGGGGAGCAAACAGG